GUUAUGUUGGUGUGACUUCCGGUAAAUUGACGCCGGUCCACGGUGAUAACAGAGGCACCGAUUCCUCUGGAAAUACCGGCCAGAUUCGGUAUCUUCCAGCCGGUAACCCGCCUAAAAUGAGAGAUAGGAGGAUUUAACGGAGACUAACGGACCCGCGGGGCUCGACAAAGCCAUGCUCACUCGACCACUGACACUGAAUGACAGUGAUGACAGGGGGCGGAGCCUGGUUGCAGUGACCCCACCCCCUGUCCUCCCAUUGGCUGAUGAGGGUGAUGAUGAUGACGAGACUCAAACAGGAGUUUUCUCUCCAGCACCUCCUUGGAGCUCCUCCUCCUCUUCACCCUCCUCUCCUCCUUGUGCCUCCUCUUCCUCCUCUGCUCCUUCUUUCACACUUCCUCCUCCUGCUCAUCUCUCUUCUACAUCAUUCUCCACUCCUCCUGUGUUCCUCCUGUCUCCUCCUCCAUCGUCUCUUUCUCCUCUUGUUGCUCCUCUUCUUUCCUCUGCUGGCUCCCCUCCUCCUUUGCCUCCAUCCCUCCACUCCUCACCUCCUGCUCCUCCUGGUGUCUCUUCCACUGCUUUUAUUUCACCUUCUCGUCCUGUUUCUCCUCCUUUUCCUCCUUUAGCUUUUUGUUCUUAUCCUUCCUCCUGUCCUCCUCCUCCUCCUAUCUCCAUCAUUCCUGCUCCUUCUGUUUCUCCUCCCCCUUCUUCCCACUUUUCUCCUCUCUCUUCAUCCCCUCCCCCUGUCCCUCCAUCCCUCCUAUCUCCGCCUCCUCUUCCUACAGCUCCUUCUCUUCUUCCUCCUGCUCCUCCUCCCUGCUGCCCCUGCUCCUCCCUCCUGCCUCGCCUUCUCUCAGCUCACCGGUUGGAGGUGCGGCGCCUCCUGCGAGGAGCUCUGGCAUCCCUCGGUCGCCGUCUGGACUCUUUGGAGAGGAGGAGCAGGAGGAAAAAGAAGAGCAAGAAGAGAGGAGGCGAGGAAGGAGCCUGUUCAUCUCCUCCUCCUCCAGGACAAGCUUUCUCUUCUGCAGCCUCGUCUGCCUUCAGCUCCGCCUCCUCCUGUAACUCCGCCCACCGCCCAUCUCUCACCUCUUCAUCAUCUUCAGACGGUGAGGAUUCAGCCACGCCUCCUCUCUCCUCCAGUGUGAGCCAAUCAGAACGGAGGAGCAGAAGGAGGAGCAGAGGGGAGGAGGAGGAGGAGGAGGAGGAGGAGGAGGGGAGUAAAAGGAGGAGGAAGAACCACAGAGGAAGAGAGGGGAGUAAUCCUCCAGGAAACCAGGCAGAAGAUGAAGAAGAGGAGGAUGCUGGGAGAUUUGUGGGGCGGAUGGCGGUGUCCAUUAGAGGAGGAGCAGAGGAGGAGGAGGAGGAGGCGCCGCUCACUCUGCACAACUUCAUCCACAGGAAAUACCGAAGAAGAGAGGAGGGAGGAAACGGCCAAUCGGAGAAGGCCGUUAGCGUCGUCAGGCGGAACGGUUACAGAGCGCCGGCGCUACACGGCUCCUCUUCCCAGAAUGCCUUGCUGCAGUCAGCCCAGAGAGGUCCGACCUGCAGCCAAUCAGAAGGACUCAGCGUUUCCUCCGGCCAAUGGCGUUUCUCUGACCUCCCCCUGCCCCUCCCCCUCUCCUCCAAUCAUGCUGCUCUGCACAUCUGGCUCUGCUCCGCCCCCUCUUCCUUCAGCCACGCCCCCAUGCUGCGGCUGUCUGCAGUUGCCGUGGAGACGAUGUCAGAAACAGUGAGGGGCGGAGCUUCUUGGAGCCCCCAGCGGCCCCUGAAGGACUGGACGGCCCCGCCCAGUCUGAGCAGCGACCACUGUUACGUACGAACAGCGACAACAAGCCCAACUUUAUGCGCCCGGCGACAGCAGAAGCAGCGGACCAAUCACAGCUCUCGAAGCCUCCACCUCCCCCGGCGACGGCCCCUACCCCUACCACCCUGUUCAGCCAAUGGGCUGUCUGCUCCAUUCUCUGCCGACCAAUCAGCAGCAGGCUCCAAGUUUCUCAGCACAAAUGGAGAGCGUGGUAAACGAGUGUCACAGAUACGGAUCCGCCGGGCGCCACCACGGGAAACACUGCUCACACCAAUGGGACUGCCAAAGGUCAAAAGGUUAAAGAAGAAAGAGUUCAGUCUGGAGGAGAUUUACACCAACAAGAACUACAAAUCCCCCUCCACCAAUAGGAGUCUAGAGACGAUCUUCGAGGAGCCGCGGGAGAAGGACGGAGCACUGCUGCUGAUUGGCCAGCAGAGGAGGCGCAGGCUCCUCCUCUUUCCUGACUUCACUCAGCCCAGGAAGAGGAAGAAGCCACAAGGGGCGGGACUUCCUGUCGCCACACUGCCCAGGAAACGGGCGGCGGCUAGACGCCACUGCCACGGCGGCAGCGCCGUUGUUGAUGAGUCGGACCUGGACGUGAUGCUGGUGGAGAGACUGAGCGCGCUCGAAGACUUCCUGACACGUCAGGGCUUGGACGUGUGAGCUGUGACAUCACUUCCUGUUAACUGACUAAAGGCCAAAUAAACAGAGCUGCUAGCAUGCCCGCUACUGCUGCGUUACUAUGAUAUAUAUAUAGAUUUAUAUAUCCCUCCAGGACCUGUAUGUCUCUAGGACCCUGAGGCGUGUAGGCAAGAUUGUGGCUGACCCCUCCCACCCCGGUCACAAACUCUGAACCACUCCCCUCUGGCAGGAGGCUGCGGUCCAUCAGAACCAGAACCUCUCGCCACAACCACGGUUUCUCUCCGUCUGCAGCCUCAUUAACAGGGCCCGGACCCCCCACUGUCACUGACUGUCAUACCUGCCCUGUAUAUAUGCAUUACAUUAAUGCACUCCCGUCUUCUGUACAGUUUCCUAUCUGUUCUUAUCUUUCUUAUCUUUAUUUAUCUAUAUAUUUUUUAAAAGUACUUUAUUCUUGUGUGAUUUUUGUGUGAUUCAUAUGUUUAUCUUUUUAGUUAUUUUUUGUGUGAUUAUAUAUUUUAAGCACCAUUGCACCAAGACAAAUUCCUCGUAUGUGUAAAAACCUACCUGCAAUAAAUCUCAUUCUGAUUCUGA